AGCCUUCAGAGUGCAGCGCAAGUUCCCGCUGUGCUCCGCAGGCUUCAGGUUCCUUUUGCUGAAGCUGGGAGAGCAAGACUCUCUUGGCUUCAGCAAAAGGAACCCGAAGUCUGCGGAGCGCAGCAGGAACUCGCGCUGUGCUCCGAAGGC